rnacentral:lncRNA from 1 species
GUGAAAUGUAACCCCAGCGCCAUCUAUCAGUAGACUCCUAACUCUUUAGAAUCUUACAGCUUCCAAAGGCCCACAAAGCACAGUGGGUAAAAGUAGACUACAGCGCCAGAUGGCCUGGGAUCAACUUCUUGCUCUGCCAUUUACAUGCUAUGUGACAUUAAUUCUAUUUUUUUUUUUUACAAGGUCUCUCUGUGUUGCCCAGGCUGGAGUGCAGUGGCGUGAUCCCAGCUCACUGCAACCUCUGCCUCCCAGGUUCACGUGAUUCUCGUGCCACAGCCUCUUGAGUAGCUGGGAUUAUAGGCAUGUACCAUCAUGCCCGGCUAAUUUUUUUGGAUUUUUUUUAGUAGAGACCUGAUUACGCCACGUUGGCCAGCCUGGUCUCGAACUCCUGACCUCAAGUGAUCCUCCCACCUCGGCCUCCCAAAGGGCUGGGAUUACAGGCAUGAGCCACCAUGCCCAGCCUAUGUGACCUUAAUUCUUAAUUAAGAUUCUUAAUUCAAAAUGUUAAAUUCUCUGUGCCUCAAUUCCCUUGUGUUUAAGGUAGGGAUAACAAUAG